GCGCCCUUAGCUCAGUUGGUAGAGCAACUGACUCUUAAUCAGUGGGUCUAGGGUUCGAGUCCCUAAGGGCGCACCC
rnacentral:tRNA from 2 species